rnacentral:rRNA from 1 species
CCUACGGGAGGCAGCAGUAGGGAAUAUUGCUCAAUGGGGGAAACCCUGACGCAGCAACGCCGCGUGGAGGAUGAAGGUUUUCGGAUUGUAAACUCCUUUUGUUAGAGAAGAUAAUGACGGUAUCUAACGAAUAAGCACCGGCUAACUACGUGCCAGCAGCCGCGGUAAUACGGAGGGUGCAAGCGUUACUCGGAAUCACUGGGCGUAAAGAGCGCGUAGGCGGGAUAGCAAGUCAGAUGUGAAAUCCUAGGGCUUAACCAUAGAACUGCAUUUGAAACUGUUAUUCUAGAGUAUGGGAGAGGUAGGUGGAAUUCUUGGUGUAGGGGUAAAAUCCGUAGAGAUCAAGAGGAAUACUCAUUGCGAAGGCGACCUGCUAGAACAUAACUGACGCUGAUGCGCGAAAGCGUGGGGAGCAAACAGGAUUAGAUACCCGAGUAGUC